AGGACGAACGCUGGCGGCGUGCCUAACACAUGCAAGUGGAGCGACGACCCGGGCUUCGGCCCGGUGCAAAGCCGCGAACGGGUGAGUAACACGUGGGUAACCUGCCCUGAUGAUCGGGACAACUCGAGGAAACUCGGGCUAAUACCGAAUGUGCCCUCCGGCCGUAAGGCCUCUGGGGAAAGGAAGCUUCGGCCUCCGCAUCGGGAUGGGCCCGCGGCCCAUUAGCUUGUUGGUGAGGUAACGGCUCACCAAGGCGACGACGGGUA
rnacentral:rRNA from 1 species